UACCAGCACCCCGAGUGGUCGGGACGUUUAUUGGGCCUAAAGCAUCCGUAGCCGGUUCUACAAGUCUUCCGUUAAAUCCACCUGCUUAACAGAUGGGCUGCGGAAGAUACUAUAGAGCUAGGAGGCGGGGAGAGGCAAGCGGUACUCGAUGGGUAGGGGUAAAAUCCGUUGAUCCAUUGAAGACCACCAGUGGCGAAGGCGGCUUGCCAGAACGCGCUCGACGGUGAGGGAUGAAAGCUGGGGGGAGCAAACCGG
rnacentral:rRNA from 1 species